rnacentral:rRNA from 1 species
UAGGGAAUCUUCCACAAUGGACGCAAGUCUGAUGGAGCAACGCCGCGUGAGUGAAGAGGGUUUUCGGACCGUAAAGCUCUGUUGUUGGUGAAGAAGGAUAGAGGUAGUAACUGGCCUUUAUUUGACGGUAAUCAACCAGAAAGUCACGGCUAACUACGUGCCAGCAGCCGCGGUAAUACGUAGGUGGCAAGCGUUGUCCGGAUUUAUUGGGCGUAAAGCGAGCGCAGGCGGAAGAAUAAGUCUGAUGUGAAAGCCCUCGGCUUAACCGAGGAAUUGCAUCGGAAACUGUUUUUCUUGAGUGCAGAAGAGGAGAGUAGAACUCCAUGUGUAGCGGUGGAAUGCGUAGAUAUAUGGAAGAAUACCAGUGGCGAAGGCGGCUCUCUGGUCUGCAACUGACGCUGAGGCUCGAAAGCAUGGGUAGCGAACAGGAUUAGAUACCCUGGUAGUCCAUGCCGUAAACGAUGAGUGCUAAGUGUUGGGAGGCUUCCGCCUCUCAGUGCUGCAGCUAACGCAUUAAGCACUCCGCCUGGGGGAGUACGACCGCAAGGUUGAAAC